rnacentral:sRNA from 1 species
GCUGGGUGAGGUGAUGCAUGCCUGUAAUCCCAGUGGCUCAGGAGGCUGAGACAGGAGGAUAGAGAGUUCAAAGCCAGCCUCAGCAACUUAGUAAGGCCCUAUAAGGAACUCAGCAAGACCCUGUUUCUA